AGCAGGCGACUCCUCGGCGCCAUCGCUGUCGCUGGAAUCAGCCGCGCGCUGCCGAAAAGUCCUUUUCGGCCUGUGAGCCAUGGCCGAGGCCCGAGCGCCCGGCGCCCUAGAACCCGCUGAACCGCAAGCCGCAGCUUCAGUGCCCGCCCCCUAGGGCGCGCUCCCGCCGCGCCUGGCCGCCGAGUGCGCGCGCCCGUCCCGCCUGCCUUCUGCUCACCGCUACUCUGUCUGCGCCUGCGUGCUUUGGCUCCCUGGAUCUGGUAGGCCGAGUUCUGUUCUGGGGCCUGAGUUUGCAAAGCAUUCCCUUUGCCAGGUUAGGUUGCGUGGACUGACACCUUAGAGAUUUUCACGGCCUAUCCGGUCUGAGUCCCACGGAGAGCAGAACUCACGUGCUGUCCUUGUGCAAACCCCAUCCAGAAAUCAAGCGUUAUGCUUUCCGUCCUGGACUGGAGCCAGAUCCGUUGUCUUUUACUUUCUGGAGAGAGUGCCCCCUCCAACCAAGAUUUAAAACAAACGAAACCCCAGCAGUGUGAGGCUCGGGGUAGGAGGAGAUGCCUUUGAGAACAAAACCAUAAAGUCUGUACAUAAACAAUGCAUACAGACUAGCAAAAAUCAAAUGACUUCCCCCAGGCAGCAGGGCUUCAAGAGAGCCUGGUUAAAUGUUUUCACCCUUAAAGAAACUAUCUAAAAACAAAAAGCUAUUGUCUGACGCAAAUUUGUUCUAUAUUCAUCAAGCUCUGUCUACUACUGUAUCUGUAUGGUAGAAAUACUAUAUAAUGUUGAGCUACUGCACACCUGUUAUCAACUCCAUGUUUAGUGGCGUCAUAUUGAGAGGUGACAGCGGGCCAGCUGGAGUUCCGGGUGGGCAUGGGCUUGGCGGGCCUGCACUCGGAGCAGCCGGCCGGCCCUGCCAGCCCCGGGCAGUGAGGGACUUGGCACCCGGGCCAGCGGCUACAGAGGGUGUACUGGGUCCCCUAGCAGUGCCGGCCCACCGGCGCUGUGCUCGAUUUCUCGCCGGGCCUUAGCUGCCUUCCCGCGGUGCAGGGCUCGGGACCUGCAGCCCGCCAUGCCUGAGCCUCCCAUCCACUCCAUGGGCUCCUGUGCUGCCCGAGCAUCCCCGACGAGCACCACCCCCUGCUCCACGGCGCCCAGUCCCAUCGACCACCCAAGGGCUGAGGAGUACGAGCGCACGGCGCCGGACUGGCAGGCAGCUCCACCUGCAGCCCCGGUGCGGGAUCCACUAGGUGAAGCCAGUUGGGCUCCUGAGUCUGGUGGGGACAUAGAGAGUCUUUAUGUCUAGCUCAGGGAUUGUAAAUACACCAAUCAGCACUCUGUAUCUGGCUCAAGGUUUGUAAACACACCAAUCAGCACCCUGUGUUUAGCUCAAGGUUUAUGAGUGCACCAAUCGACACUCUGUAUCUAGCUGCUCUGGUGGGGCCUUGGAGAACCUUUAUGUCUAGCUCAGGGAUUGUAAAAACACCAAUCGGCACUCUGUAUCUAGCUCAAGGUUUGUAAACCCACCAAUCAGCACCCUGUGUUUAGCUCAAGGUUUGUGAGUGCACCAAUAGACAUUCUAUCUAGCUGCUCUGGUGAGGCCUUGGAGAACCUGUGUGUGGAAACUCUGUAUCUAACUAAUCUGAUGGGGAUGUGGAGAACUUUUGUAUCUAGCUCAGGGAUUGUAAACGCACCAAUCACGGCCCUGUCAAAACAGGCCGCUGGGCUCUACCAAUCAGCAGGAUGUGGGUGGGGCCAGAUAAGAGAAUAAAAGCAGGCUGCCCCAGCCAGCAGUGGCAACCCGCUCCGGUCCCCUUCCACAGUGUGGAAGCUUUGUUCUUUCGCUCUUUGCAAUAAAUCUUGCUACUGCUGACUCUUUGGGUCCACGUGGCUUUUAUGAGCUGUAACACUCACCGUGAAGAUCUGCAGCUUCAUUCCUGAGCCCAGCGAGACCACAAACCCACCAGAAGGAAGAAACUCCAAACACAUCUGAACAUCAGAAGGGGCAGACCCCAGACGCGCCACCUUAAGAGCUGUAACGCUCACCGCGAGGGUCCGCAGCUUCAUUCUUGAAAUCAGUGAGACCAAGAACCCACCAAUUCCGGACACAAUAUUGGCACCUUGAAAUCAGCCAUAAAGGGACUACUUAUACCAUAUAAAUUGGAAGACCUUAGAAGUCCAGGUGUUUCUCCCAGAUAUCCAGUCAUUAAACAUUUACCAUUGUAUCACUGACUAUAUGUCACCAAAGGAAUCGAGAAGAGGCAAAGUUUCUCUGAUUGACCUAGCCCCGGAAUUUUUUUUUCUUGGCUUUGUCUUUUUUUCUUGGCUUUUCUCAAUAAACUGAAACUCCUUGAUGUAAAAUUAGAGAACUACUUGUUUUUUUGUGUGUUUCUUUUGGAAAAUUGGCAAAUGGUGUGAAAAAGAUAUUUCUGGAGAAUAGAGAUACUUGUGGCAUCUGAAAGAACAGCUUCCUAUCAUGGACCAAGUGCUCCUUGUAGUUAGAAUAAACUUUAAAGAUUGGAGAUGGAGAAGUGGGUUCCGUUCGGUCCAGUGCUUUUCAGAUGCCAUCUUUCCAUGCAGAAUUCCCAAGUUCUGCCAUGGAUACUGCUCUGUACUCCCUUAGCAGAGGAGGACAUCUUUCCAAAUUACACUAUAAAGUAGUUAAUGCUAAACCAAACAGGAGACUAUAAUUUUUAGUUUAGUUAAUUUUAUGGACAGAGUCUCGCUCUGCCACCCAGUGCGAUGGUGCAAAUACAGCUCACUUCAGCCUUGACCUACUGGGCUUAGUGAUCCUCCCACCUUAGCCUCCUGAGGAUCUGGGACUACACGCGCAUACCCCAAUGCCCAGCUAAGACUAGCAUUUUGAAACAGUGAGGAGAAUGAGGAAGAUGAUCGUGAUUGUAAUUGGAGAGAAAUUCAGUGUUCUGUUAUGCACUCUUAAGGAAACAUAUUAAUAUAUCGUACAAUUCAAUCAGUGUUUAUUAUACACCUACUAGCACAGGCACCAUGCUAAGCCCUAGACUAAUGCUUAUCAAAUCUAAUGUUCUUCAAAGCACAUGGAAAUAGUGUGGACAUAUAGAUACUGAUUGAGCUGCUAUGUGUAGGAACCAAGAGUCUUCAUUUCUAGCAAGCUCCCAGGUGAAGGCGAGGAUACUUGUCUGAGGAUCACUCUAAAUAGCAAGGUCCUAGAGCAGAUACUAAGUAUUAAUCACCCUUAAGAAGGCU
rnacentral:lncRNA from 1 species